UGUAAGCGUAUACCAAAGUUGUUGCAGUUAAAACGCUCGUAGUCGAACCUUGGCGUGAGUUACGGAGACUCCUACUGGACGUUGAAGUACCUCCGCCUUUGUGGAGGGGGAUGUGGCGUUACUUAAUUGUAUUGCUGCAUUUCCGCCACUGUUUACUGUGAAAAAAUUAGAGUGUUCAAAGCGAGCGUUUGCCAUGAAUACAUUAGCAUGGAAUAAUAGAAUAGGACCUGGUCCUGUUUUAUUGGUUUGUCAGUAUCGGGUAAUGAUUAACAGGGACGGUCGGGGGCAUUUGUAUUCCAGCGUUAGAGGUGAAAUUCUUGGAUCGCUGGAAGACAGACAGCAGCGAAAGCGUCUGCCAAGGACGUUUUCAUUG
rnacentral:rRNA from 1 species